UACGAAGGGUGCAAGCGUUACUCGGAAUUACUGGGCGUAAAGCGUGCGUAGGUGGUGAGUUAAGUCUGUCGUGAAAGCCCCGGGCUCAACCUGGGAAUGGCGAUGGAUACUGGCUCGCUAGAGUGCGGUAGAGGAGAGUGGAAUUCCCGGUGUAGCAGUGAAAUGCGUAGAGAUCGGGAGGAACAUCAGUUGCGAAGGCGGCUCUCUGGACCAGCACUGACACUGAGGCACGAAAAGCGUGGGGGAGCAAACAGG
rnacentral:rRNA from 1 species